rnacentral:pre_miRNA from 1 species
UCUUAUGGAUGAGCAAAGAAAGUGGUUUCUUGAGAUGGAAGCAUCUCCUGGUAAAGAUUCUGUGAA